CAGCAGCCGCGGUAAUACGAGGGGGGCGAGCGUUGUUCGGAAUUAUUGGGCGUAAAGGGUGCGUAGGCGGUUUGUUAAGUCUGUUGUGAAAUCCCCGGGCUCAACCUGGGAAUGGCAAUGGAUACUGGCAAGCUAGAGUGUGUCAGAGGAUGGUGGAAUUCCCGGUGUAGCAGUGAAAUGCGUAGAGAUCGGGAGGAACAUCAGUGGCGAAGGCGGCCAUCUGGGACAACACUGACGCUGAGGCACGAAAGCGUGGGGAGCAAACAGGAUUAGAGACCCGCGUAGUCCCUGUCUCUUAUAC
rnacentral:rRNA from 1 species